UUCCGCUGUCCUACCCGAAGCUAGGCUUUUCCUGUGCUCCUCAGCACACCCGGCAGAGGCAGCUGCUAGUUGGGAGGAGCUUGAGGAUGCGGGUGUGACCAGAGAAUGACAGAGGACUCGGGAAUAGAGAUUUACACCCCUGGCGAUAAGCUGUAGCGGGAGCAUGUUUGCUUCCCCUGGUGUUCAGUGGGGAUUUCUCACCGACCCCUGGCAAGAAGUGUUCUGGGACACCCAAUAUUGCUGAACUACCUCAUUUGAAGGAAUAGCACCUGGGAGGGAACACCUGCCACUUCUUCAAAGUCAGCUGAUCAUUUGGAAUGAUGGACGGCGCUGCUGCCGAUGACGUCCCCUUUCAAGUCUCUUUGUCUAAGUGAAUUAUCGUGCAUCCUUUUAAUUUUAUUGAACAAAUUACAUUUGUCAAGGUCUAUC